rnacentral:rRNA from 1 species
GACGAACGCUGGCGGCGUGCCUAAUACAUGCAAGUCGAACGCUGCUUAAGAAGAAGCUUCGGUUUUUUCUUAAGCGGAGUGGCGGACGGGUGAGUAACACGUGGGGAGCCUAUCCAUCAGCGGGGGAUAACACUUGGAAACAGGUGCUAAUACCGCAUAUGGCUUUUUUUCACCUGAAAGAAAGCUCAAAGGCGCUUUACAGCGUCACUGAUGGCUGGCCCCGCGGUGCAUUAGCCAGUUGGUGAGGUAACGGCUCACCAAAGCAACGAUGCAUAGCCGACCUGAGAGGGUGAUCGGCCACACUGGGACUGAGACACGGCCCAGACUCCUACGGGAGGCAGCAGUAGGGAAUCUUCGGCAAUGGACGCAAGUCUGACCGAGCAACGCCGCGUGAGUGAAGAAGGUUUUCGGAUCGUAAAGCUCUGUUGUCAGCAAAGAACAGGAGAAAGAGGAAAUGCUUUUUCCAUGACGGUAGCUGACCAGAAAGCCACGGCUAACUACGUGCCAGCAGCCGCGGUAAUACGUAGGUGGCAAGCGUUGUCCGGAUUUAUUGGGCGUAAAGCGAGCGCAGGCGGUGAUUUAAGUCUGAUGUGAAAGCCCCCAGCUCAACUGGGGAGGGUCAUUGGAAACUGGAUCACUUGAGUGCAGAAGAGGAGAGUGGAAUUCCAUGUGUAGCGGUGAAAUGCGUAGAUAUAUGGAGGAACACCAGUGGCGAAGCGGCUCUCUGGUCUGUAACUGACGCUGAGGCUCGAAAGCGUGGGUAGCAAACAGGAUUAGAUACCCUGGUAGUC